rnacentral:rRNA from 1 species
GACGAACGCUGGCGGCGUGCUUAACACAUGCAAGUCGAACGGACAGGCCCUGCUUUUGUGGGGUGCUCGAGUGGCGAACGGGUGAGCAACACGUGAGUAACCUGCCCUUGACUUUGGGAUAACUUCAGGAAACUGGGGCUAAUACCGGAUAUGAGCUCCUGCUGCAUGGUGUUGUUUGGAAAGUUUCGGCGGUUGGAGAUGGACUCGCGGCUUAUCAGCUCGUUUGUGGGGUAGUGGCUUACGAAGGCUGUGACGGGUAGCCGGCCUGAGAGGGGUACCGGCCUCCUGGGGACUGAGAGAGGGCGCAGACGCCUACGGGAGGCAGCGGUGGGGAAUAUUGCGCAAUGGGCGGAAGCCUGAUGCAGCAACGCCGCGUGCGUGAUGACGGCCUUCGGGGUGUAAACCGCUUUCGCCGGUGACGAAGCGUGAGUGACGGUAAUGGGUAAAGAAGCACCGGCUAACUACGUG